CGGCGGGGCUGUUGCCGGGCGACCGCGCCGGGGCCCGGCCCGAGUCUGGCCGGGCUCGCCCGCUCCUCCCGCGGGCCGGCGGCACCGUGAGGCCCUGAAGCGCCCGGGAGGCAGGAAACUGCCCCGGCCGGGAGGUUGAACUCCAUGAUCUCGAAGGUCGUUUCCACCCUGUUUGAUUCUGUGACUCCUGGGAUCCCUACACCACACCCCCUGCCCUUAGUCCCACCUAUUGUGAAAAUCACCGCCGGCUGCAGCAGAGGCCAAGGUCCGCCUGGGUCCAAGGCUGGAGGAAGGCACCUUGGCCCCUGUGCCGCUCAGCCUUCUCUGUAACAAGAGUAAUUUUCUCCUUCACGCCAACUCCCAUGGACUAAAUAAAUAAAUAAAUGUAAAAGGUUCCCUACAACUUACAGAUGCUGUUAGCUUCACUUGUGCCCCCAUGGAGGGAAAGUCCCUUCCCCAUGGGAAUGGAUUUAGCCCUGGAGCGCAGCAGGUGCUUGACUUAGAGCGGGACUGGUGUGACAAAGGACACAUCACAGCCUCGCUGUGCCAUUAUCUGACACAGCUUCACCAAGACAGAACAGUUCACAGGGGUACAGAGAUGUCAGAUUGGAGUCAAACACGGGAUCUACAUCUGCUCGUAUGGAAUUCCAGGUGCUGGUGAUACAAUUGAUCCCACUGAAGAAGCAAUAAAUUGUGCCACUGACUGAUAUGAGCAUGACCUGUCUUCUUACAUUUGUUGAUUCUGGAGGCCUGAAGGCAGAGAAACGAUCAGCAUUAUCAC